AUGCCACAGGCUGACUUGUUUUCCUAUCAAUCACCAGGAAAUGCGGUAAAACAAAUGGAGCUACAGUCCUGGACAGGACUUCAGAGCAGUGUCGCCUCACAGAUGCUAAGGUCACCCUCAGGAAUCGAUGAAAAACAACCUGCAACCUGAGGCAAAUAAUGCAGAACCAGCUGUGGUGAGUGCUUUGAGAUCUCUCUCGAUCAGGUAAAAAGAAAACAGGACUUGUAAUAAUAUUCAAUUGUUGUAAGGUCGGAGAAGUUUAAGAGGACUAUUCCUCAUAGGGGUAAUUUAAGCUCUUCCAGACUAAUAAUACUCAAAUGUGGUUUCACUUUAAUGUUUCAUAUAGCUGCUUCCCAUUGAUGAGCAAAAGCUUCCACUUCAUCCAUUUCUAAGGGAGCAUUUUGCCCUCCCUGCCCGAGCUCACUGUCUCUGGUUAUCUCUCCUCCCAUGGUGGAUACAUGAUUAUGAAAUGGUCAGUGGGUGUGCCAGGAAAAAUCCCAGCCCUGAAAACAAAGAGUUUCUGGAAGAAACAGGGCACAGACCUGUGAAUUUAUUCAGGGCUGUCCAAGAGCUCCGAGAAUAGGAGAGCCUCCAUCAGGUACCAGCUAGUGCAAUGCUGGAUGCCUGGAGGCUGAAUGGGACAGUGUGAGGCAGUGCAUGGAGACUACGGUCCAGCACAUGAAACAGGAUUGUUCCCCCCAUUAAUUUCCCUUCCUAUCUCAUCUUUGCACAUGUAGUCUCAUUUCCCCACCAAAUCUGGCCAACCUGCUGUUCUGUACAGUUUCUGUCAGGGCUGGGGCUUCUCGUUGCUAUCGCCCUGCCUGAUGUGCAGUCUAACAGGACUGUGCUUUUUGCCUCUGGGCUGUUAAUUUCUCCUGCAUUUAGGAAUGAGGAGUGGCAAUCGAGGAGAAAGAUCAAGGGCAAAGCCUGGGCUGUGGGAUGAGAACUUGCUGCAUAUUGAGCAGUCUGCAAUUACAUUGACUUGCUCUUUCUCUUAGAUAAAUGUUUCUGAUGUAAGAAAUGAGAGGUCCUGACUCCUUUUAUUUUGAUGGUUAGAGUAGCUUGUAUAUAAAGUAAGAUAAAAGCACGCCCAUAAGGACAUCCCAGACCAGCUUAUAAUCAACAAGUUCACAGACAAGAAUAUCCAAAG
rnacentral:lncRNA from 1 species